UUUCGCUCGAUUCUUGCAAAGGGAAAGAUAAGACAUGGAUGUUUUUACUGGUCAACGAAGGCUUGGCCACAGGUGAAACGUUACAGGCAGUAAUAGAUUCCUUGAUAGCCAACAACCGGAAACUUCAUCUUGCUACUCUAUUGGAUUACUCUAAACAAUUGGCGAGCGGGCUCGGAUAUCUGCAUGAAAAAGGAAUUGUGCACGGCAGACUGAGCCCCGAUUUCGUGUACGUCGAGCGUCCGGUGGGUAAUCGAAAUGUCCUGCGAAUUGCCGGGUUGUUCUUUGAGCUAUUGUUGGAUGAAGAACUGGAAAGACAGCUUGUUUUCCCAUUAAUGCGUAACACAAUGUCGCCAGAAUACCUCUUAAAAUUUUCGGACAUACGACAUCUGUUGCCAAAGAAAUUUGGAGCGAAAACAGACAGUUGGGGAUUGGGCUGCGUAAUUUAUGAACUAGCUAAGUGCUAUUUUUCGGAAACCGAAUGGCCUCAGUUCCACAACCUGCGACAGUGGUUUUAAAAAUAAACUCUGUGAAUUUAUUGCCACUGCAAGAGACAGCACGCUUGAUCCGUUUCUCGAUUCUGUAUUGACACCCAGCGCCAAAGCCAACGUAUUUCGAAACCGGACGCAACCACAACACAUCCUAUCCAAGUUACUGUUAGUGGCACAUAUGCCGGUAUUAAUGUUUUUCCAUUCGCAAUUUUCCCAAAGAAUUGUGGACGGAUAUCCGCCGUACAUACCGGAAAUUAUUCCUAAAGAGUUUCUAAAAAUUAUCCAGAGAUGCGUACAAGUGGAUCUGGACAAGAGGAUUACGGCAAAAGAUGUUUACAAUAGUCUGGUAAAAGUGCAGGAUUAUAUUUAUGGAAGCACCUGGAAUCGCAGUAGGCUGAAUUCUGUUGCAAACUCUGAAGAAGCCUCCGGCAAUUCCCGUCCAUUAAUUGAAAUAUUUGGACCCCGCUGUGCGUAUGAUUACGAAUUUCCUGGCGACUUUAUUGGUCAAGGCACGUUUGGUACUGUGUACAAAGCAACACUAAGGGAUGACCAAAAUUAUGCAGGCAGUUGUACAGUUGCUGUUAAAGAGGUUUUAUUCAAAUCCGACCGAGAAAAUGCUGACACUCGAAAGAAUCCUUCGAAAAACGAUAUAGAGCUGUGGCAGUUGCUGAUAAGAUUGACGGACAGGCACCCUAAUGUGGUCACGUAUCAUCAUGUCGUCACGCGGAAAGUACUUCAAGGCGUUGAGGUUAUUUUUAUGAUGGACUGGUGUGAAGACCGUGAUUUGGAAUGGCACUUAGCUCAGUGCAGAUCAAAGAAACAGAGGUUUCGCGUCACUACCGCUUUAGAUCGCGCACUACAGGUGAGCAGCGGUCUGGCGUUUCUCCACCAGAAUAAGCUGAUUCACGGAGAUCUCAAACCUGGGAACAUUUUACACAAAAAUCCCCCAGUGGUCAUUACACUCUACUGAUCGGAGAUCUUGACGGAGCUGUCAGAUUUGAUGACCGCGAUACUGACUCAACUCAAUCCUUCGAGAUGGUGAACGGCACGAUAACUUAUAUGUCGCCGGAAAUGGCUAUGUUUAAAUGCCAAGAGGAUCACGCACCCCUCGGAUAUAGCAUCGAUAUUUGGAGCUUGGGAUGUGUCAUUUUGGAUCUACUGAACUGUGCCUUUCAGAAAGAAGAAGGGCGCUUCUGUAAGGUGAUCAAGAAAAAUGGCCUUUAUAGUUACGUGGAGGAAACAAUGAUCCGAGGGAGAAGUUGUUCAUCCGAUCAAUUAUUGUUCAAAUUGGCACAUGAUGGCUACACCCCUACAUUCCUGCCAAUAUUCCGAAAUUAUUCGCUAGUAGCGUCUACUGCUGUCUGGUUCCGGCUUUGGAUCGAAAAAUUACAGCCGCGCAGAUAGUAAAACACCUCCAAGUGUUACUCGCUCGCAUACAAAAUCAGGUACAAGUACAUCGACUGCAUAUUUUAACGAGCCAAGGCCACUUCGUGUGAAGACAAGAAGGCCACCAUGUAUCUUGCAAAAUGCCGGCGCUUGAAUGGUUACAUGGGAAGCAGCUUGCAACUUGCGCCCGCAUAUCU